rnacentral:tRNA from 1 species
GAGGGUAUAGCUCAGUGGUAGAGCACAUGCUUAGCACGCAGGAGAUCCUGGGUUCAGUCCCCAGUACCUCCA